CAGUCGCCGCGGUAAUACGUAGGGUGCAAGCGUUGUCCGGAAUUAUUGGGCGUAAAGAGCUCGUAGGCGGUUUGUCGCGUCUGCUGUGAAAACUGGAGGCUCAACCUCCAGCCUGCAGUGGGUACGGGCAGACUAGAGUGCGGUAGGGGAGAUUGGAAUUCCUGGUGUAGCGGUGGAAUGCGCAGAUAUCAGGAGGAACACCGAUGGCGAAGGCAGAUCUCUGGGCCGUAACUGACGCUGAGGAGCGAAAGCGUGGGGAGCGAACAGGAUUAGAUACCCCUGUAGUCCCUGUCUCUUAUAC
rnacentral:rRNA from 1 species